AUGGAUCACCAGUGAGUGGCGGACGGGUGAGUAACACGUAGGUAACCUGCCCCGGAGCGGGGGAUAACAUUUGGAAACAGAUGCUAAUACCGCAUAACAACAAAAGCCACAUGGCUUUUGUUUGAAAGAUGGCUUUAGCUAUCACUCUGGGAUGGACCUGCGGUGCAUUAGCUAGUUGGUAAGGUAACGGCUUACCAAGGCGAUGAUGCAUAGCCGAGUUGAGAGACUGAUCGGCCACAAUGGAACUGAGACACGGUCCAUACUCCUACGGGAGGCAGCAGUAGGGAAUCUUCCACGAUGGGCGCAAGCCUGAUGGAGCAACACCGCGUGAGUGAAGAAGGGUUUCGGCUCGUAAAGCUCUGUUGUUGGAGAAGAACGUGCGUGAGAGUAACUGUUCACGCAGUGACGGUAUCCAACCAGAAAGUCACGGCUAACUACGUGCCAGCAGCCGCGGUAAUACGUAGGUGGCAAGCGUUAUCCGGAUUUAUUGGGCGUAAAGCGAGCGCAGGCGGUUGCUUAGGUCUGAUGUGAAAGCCUUCGGCUUAACCGAAGAAGUGCAUCGGAAACCGGGCAACUUGAGUGCAGAAGAGGACAGUGGAACUCCAUGUGUAGCGGUGGAAUGCGUAGAUAUAUGGAAGAACACCAGUGGCGAAGGCGGCUGUCUGGUCUGCAACUGACGCUGAGGCUCGAAAGCAUGGGUAGCGAACAGGAUUAGAUACCCUGGUAGUCCAUGCCGUUAAACGAUGAGUGCUAGGUGUU
rnacentral:rRNA from 1 species